CUCGGUGCGGGCCGCGCCUCGCGCCUCUGCUUCGAGGAACGGGCCUUGGAGGGAAGCGUGACAGGCCCCGGGGAAACACACGAGCCCACACACGCAGGCCAGACAAACGGUCAGAAACCACCUCUGCAAACGGCCUUUCUGCGGGGAGUAGCCCGGAAGUACCCAGCCAUCCGGGGAAACAGCCCUCAAUGCUGAGCGAACCUCCGGCGUGGUUUCAGCUGGUGCUCAGGAGGAGAGGACACCAGCCUGAAGCAGUCCAGCCAGGAACCGGACCCGACACGGAGCCCAAACGCGCACAGGUCUGCAGAGAGCAGCUGCGGCAGGCGGCGGGGCGGACAGAGCAGGGACUCAGGAAAGCUCUGCGAGGUCAAAGGCCCUUCAUCCAGGCCGACCCCACUGUGCCAGCUUCCCGGGUCCUCACUGGUUCUGAAAAAGAGCUCGUCUAACCCUCGAGUGGUCCAGCAGAGCGAGAGGACGGGGAGCACCUAGAAAGUCAGGUACUGAACAUGCGUCCGUUGAAUACAUGUGUGCCCACAGACUGAAAGGGGAGCUCCGAGUGUGCUGUGUCACCAACAGCUGCAGAGCCGACAGACAGCCUAGGCGUCCCGGCUUCCAGAGGCAACUGCAGGAUUCUAACCAACACCUUUUAACUUAUGCAAUAACAUCUUACAUGGAGGCACAUUUAUGAUCACCGAUGAGAGAGAAACUACACACAUAUAAAACUAGCUGUUUAUGUCAUCUUUAAAUAAUGUCUUCCAUUUCCUUUGCCAUAAUGAAGAUGCGGCCGUGGACUAGGCCUCUUGGAGGCUGAUUCGAUUCUGUAAUUGCUGUUCUUUGAAAUGAGCUAGCUGUUUUAUCUAAUGAUUUAGGGGACCAUUACUUGACAAUUAGGGUGUAACCUACUUUGGGGAAUUGCCCGUGUCUCUAUGUAAAUACCACCAUCCCAGUUUAGUAACCCAAGUGGGUGAGUCAAGAUGGGGGGCUGGGUGACAAGUACUAAGCUCCACAGAUCCUUCACACGAACACUUGUCUCAUGUGGUAAAAUGUAAAUGCCAUCACCUCACAUGCCUCUUCACAAUAUGGCAACUAAAACCUCCGACCCAGCACCUUCAUCAGGAACCAGCUCCUCUGGGCUUUCUUCCCGUUUUCCACAUCUUCCGCGCAUACAGAGUUCUGACAUUUGCAUUAGUGUUGGCCACACUAGUAAUUUCAAAACAAGUAUUUUGCAGCAAACAACCAAUAUUCUUGUCACUAAGUAUUCCGAGUUAUGCAGAUGGUGCACAUUUAAGACCCUUGCAUUGAGAUCUCUAGUAUCUGCUAGACUGGGUUUGGUCACUGUCUUUGGCUAUGGUCCCCUAGGGUGUAUUGGGGAAAAGGGUCCCGAGAGUCCAGGAUGUGUGACCCCACAUAUCCUGUGCUUGACAACACAAAACUACUUCUAAACAAAAUAUAGCUUGACAGCUACAAGCCAUUAGAUACUAGCAGGCAAAAUCCUUAAGUUACUGGUAUCUUUUAAAUAAUCAUCCACUUAAUAUUGAGCUCAGACUAUGUGCCAGGUACUGCAUUUGAAUAUACUUUGUAGUGUCUAAUUCCUAACCUAAAGUACUUACUGAAUAUAUGUUUGAUGUAGGGAAAGAAUAUCACAAUGGAAGUUCAGGGGCCUUGGGUCCUAAAAUUCAUGGCAAAGUCACUCUAGCAACCUGUCUGGGAAUCAACUCUUUAUUACUCCUAAAGUUUCUUCCAACCUAAAAAAAUAAAAUAAAAUCCACAAUUACCUUGAAA